AACGAACGCUGGCGGCAGGCUUAACACAUGCAAGUCGAACGCAUGCCUUCGGGCAUGAGUGGCAGACGGGUGAGUAACGCGUGGGAACCUACCCCUUGGUACGGGAUAGCUCCGGGAAACUGGAGAUAAUACCGUAUGUGUCCUGAGGGACAAAGAUUCAUCGCCAAGGGAUGGGCCCGCGUCGGAUUAGCUAGUUGGUGGGGUAACGGCCUACCAAGGCGACGAUCCGUAGCUGGUCUAAGAGGAUGAUCAGCCACAUUGGGACUGAGACACGGCCCAAACUCCUACGGGAGGCAGCAGUGGGGAAUAUUGGACAAUGGGCGCAAGCCUGAUCCAGCCAUGCCGCGUGAGUGAUGAAGGCCCUAGGGUUGUAAAGCUCUUUCACCGGUGACGAUAAUGACGGUAACCGGAGAAGAAGCCCCGGCUAACCUCGUG
rnacentral:rRNA from 1 species